rnacentral:rRNA from 1 species
AUGCCCUAGUAGCGGCGAGUGAAGCGGCAACAGCUCAAAUUUGAAAUCUGGCCCUCGGGUCCGAGUUGUAAUUUGUAGAGGAUGUUUCUGGCGACGUGUCUUCCGAGUUCCCUGGAACGGGACGCCAUAGAGGGUGAGAGCCCCGUCCGGUCGUACGCCUAGCCUCUGUGAAACUCCUUCGACGAGUCGAGUAGUUUGGGAAUGCUGCUCAAAAUGGGAGGUAUACGUCUUCUAAAGCUAAAUACCGGCCAGAGACCGAUAGCGCACAAGUAGAGUGAUCGAAAGAUGAAAAGCACUUUGAAAAGAGGGUUAAAUAGUACGUGAAAUUGCUGAAAGGGAAGCGCUCAUGACCAGACUUGGGCUCGGUGAAUCAUCCGGCGUUCUCGCCGGUGCACUUUGCCGGCCCAGGCCAGCAUCAGCUCGCCCCGGGGGAUAAAGGUUUCGGGAAUGUAGCUCCCUCGUGGAGUGUUAUAGACCGUUGCGUAAUACCCUGUGGCGGGCUGAGGUACGCGUUCUGCAAGGAUGCUGGCGUAAUGGUCAUCAGUGACCCGUCUUGAAACACGGACCAAGGAGUCGUCUUCGUAUGCGAGUGUUCGGGUGUCAAACCCCUACGCGUAAUGAAAGUGAACGUAGGAGAGAGCUUCGGCGCAUCUCCGACCGAUCCUGAUGUUCUCGGAUGGAUUUGAGUAAGAGCAUACGGGGCCGGACCCGAAAGAAGGUGAACUAUGCCUGUAUAGGGUGAAGCCAGAGGAAACUCUGGUGGAGGCUCGCAGCGGUUCUGACGUGCAAAUCGAUCGUCAAAUAUGGGCAUGGGGGGCGAAAAGACUAAUCGAACCUUCUAGUAGCUGGUUUCCGCCGAAGU